rnacentral:rRNA from 1 species
AAGACCUUGCGCUUUUGGAGCGGCCGAUGCCUGAUUAGCUAGUUGGUGGGGUAAUGGCCUACCAAAGCUUCGAUCAGUAGCUGGUCUGAGAGGACGGCCAGCCACACUGGGACUGAGGCACGGCCCAGACUCCUACGGGAGGCAGCAGUGGGGAAUUUUGGACAAUGGGCGCAAGCCUGAUCCAGCCAUGCCGCGUGAGUGAAGAAGGCCUUCGGGUUGUAAAGCUCUUUCAGCCGGGAAGAAAAGGUUGCGAUUAAUAAUCGCAAUUUAUGACGGUACCGGAAGAAGAAGCACCGGCUAACUACGUGCCAGCAGCCGCGGUAAUACGUAGGGUGCGAGCGUUAAUCGGAAUUACUGGGCGUAAAGCGUGCGCAGGUGGUUUUGUAAGUCAGAUGUGAAAGCCCCGGGCUCAACCUGGGAACU